UUACCUAACCUUCGGGUGCAAGUCUUUGGCGCACGGGUGCGUAACACGUGGGAAUCUACCUUGUUUUACGGAAUAACGCACAGAAAUUUGUGCUAAUACCGUAUAAUGACUUCGGUCCAAAGAUUUAUCGCCCUUAAAUGACCCCUCGCAAGAUUAGCUAGUUGGUGAGGUAAAAGCUCACAAAGGCGACGAUCUUUAGCUGGUCUGAGAGGAUGAUCAGCCACACUGGGACUGAGACACUGCCCAUACUCCUACUGUAGGCAUCAGUGGGGAAUAUUGGACAAUGGGCGAAAGCCUGAUCCAGCAAUGCCGCGUGAGUGAUUAAGGCCUUAUGGUUGUAAAGCUCUUUUACUAGGGAUGAUAAUGACAGUACCUUGAGAAUAAGCUCCGGCUAACUCCGUGCCAGCAGCCGCGGUAAUACGGAGGGAGCUAGCGUUGUUCGGAAUUACUGUGCGUAAAGCGCGCGUAGGCGGUUAUCCAAUUCAGAGGUGAAAUCCCGGAGCUUAACUCCGGAACUGCCUUUGAAACUAGAUAACUAGAAUCUUGGAGAGGCGAGUGUAAUUCCGAGUGUAUAGGUGAAAUUCGUAGAUAUUCGGAAGAACACCAC
rnacentral:rRNA from 1 species